CCUACGGGAGGCAGCAGUGAGGAAUAUUGGUCAAUGGGCGCGAGCCUGAACCAGCCAAGUCGCGUGAGGGAAGACGGUCCUAUGGAUUGUAAACCUCUUUUGUCGGGGAGCAAAAGACACCACGCGUGGCGUUCCGAGAGUACCCGAAGAAAAAGCAUCGGCUAACUCCGUGCCAGCAGCCGCGGUACUACGGAGGAUGCGAGCGUUAUCCGGAUUUAUUGGGUUUAAAGGGUGCGCAGGCGGAAGAUCAAGUCAGCUGUAAAAUCGCGCGGCUCAACCGCGCCCCGCAGUUGAAACUGGACGCCUUGAGUUCACAACAGGCAGGCGGAAUUCGUGGUGUAGCGGUGAAAUGCAUAGAUAUCACGAGGAACCCCGAUUGCGAAGGCAGCCUGCCGGGGUGCGACUGACGCUGAGGCUCGAAGGUGCGGGUAUCAAACAGGAUUAGAUACCCCUGUAGUC
rnacentral:rRNA from 1 species